rnacentral:rRNA from 1 species
CGUGAAAUGGUUGAAAGGGAAGCGCUUGCAAUCAGACUUGCACUUGGUGUUCAUCAGGGUCUCGUACCCUGUGUACUUCAUCAAGUUCAGGCCAGCAUCAGUUUGAGUGGUUAGAUAAAGGCUUAGAGAAUGUGGCCCUCUUCGGGGGGUGUUAUAGCCCAUUGUGUAAUACCCUGUGGUGGACUGAGGUUCGCGCAUCUGCAAGGAUGCUGGCGUAAUGGU